CCUGCACUAGCAUGAGGUGCUGGGGAUCCAAGCUUCUUAAAGCAUGUUUUUCUAACAGGAAGAAGAAAUGAAAAUCAAGAAAAAUGGCAUUUUUAAGGAAGGAGAUUGAAGAAUGAUCGGCCACAACUGUGGGUACUCAGAAUACACCUUGGAGAAAACUCAGAAAAACGUGAAACAAUUGUAUCUAUGCCUCAAGCUGGCAGGAGGAAGAACAGGUUGGAUACAACAGGAAAAAUUGGUAUCAUGAGAAACCUGAGUGAGACAGUGCUGGAUUGUAAAUCUUCAGAGAACACUGAUUAAAUUCCAGACAUCUCCUACGCUCAAUCAGCUGCCACUAUAAAGAAAAUGUUCUCCACUGACUGAAGGUAAGAGUGGAACUAUGUUGUGGUUCAACCUUUUCAGAAUUUAUCUACAAUUUAU
rnacentral:lncRNA from 1 species